UCGGUCCCAUGGUCUAGCGGUUAGGACAUCAGACUCUGAAUCUGGUAACCCGAGUUCAAUUCUCGGUGGGGCCUUA
rnacentral:tRNA from 1 species